GGAUGCGGGUCUGUCUAGGUUCAGAUUGCUCCUGGAACGGAAGCUCAGCUAGCUGCUGGCUUCCCCUGCGCUGCCUGAAAAUAACAUUUCCAGGAUCUCUGCGUGUCUGGUUCUUGAGGGCUUCAGUUACCUGAGCCCAGGGGAAGCUGUGGAGCGGCUGCCCCAUCUGAAUGGCCUGACAGAGGUGUGAUGGAGGACAGGUGGCUGCAGCCGCGGCCCCGCUGAGUGUGCCGGUAAAGAGUCACUGAGCUGUGCUGUCUGCAGGGAGCCUUUGUCCCAGCUCCAACCUGAACCAACCACGCCGCCUGUGUUACUGGGAUAGGAGGAGCUGGGCCGGUGUGGUGGACAACCAAACCCGCGGCUGAUGUCAGGGGUUAAUGACUGCUGGUUGGAUUUAUAAGGCUACCAAAGAUGCAGAUAGGCACCUCCAAGGAUCUUCAAAACACGCAUGCUGUCUGAGAACAGGGAACUGAUAUGCAAACCAGACUGUGCUGCUCCAGAAUUUGCACACAAACUGAAAGAGAAUUCCUCAAGGCUCCAGAUUUUUUUUCCAGGAAAAAAGACUUGGACGAAAGGCUCUGGUGGCCUCAGAGGCCUGGCAGUGGGUGAAAUGUGCCUUUCACAUAGGCACAGAGAGUUUAUCUCUGGCAUGGAGCUGUUGGCCAGCACUUCUGGAAGUGUUUUGGUGGCUUCCUGUGAAUUCAAAGGGGUUGGGAGCCUAUUGGUCAGUCCCUGAUAGCCUUUCUGUUUUGUCAGGGAGGUGCUGGAGAACUGGCUAUGGAAAUGGAGCACCUCGCUGUGCCUGAAAAAGCAAUUGUUGUGGUUAAAUAGGGCAGGUGGUGCAGUAAGAACCCAUGUCUUCCUGGUCCUGCACUUGCACUUGCUGUUAGAAGAGGGUCUGAUGAGUUUCCCUAAUACUUCACGCCUUUUGGAAGCUAUCCAGAUGGCUCAAGGGACUUGAGAUGACAUAUACAACUACUCCCUGUGGAUCAGUGCUUUGAAUCAGGGGACAGGCCAGGCAGUGCACGGUGUCUAUCAUGUUAUGUUCCUGCUGCGAGCAGGCUGUGGGUGAGCACUGUAGGACUGCUUCACAGAGUCACAGCAUGGCUGAGGCCGGCAGGGAGCUCUGGGUCCAUCUGCUCCAGCCCUACCUCCAACUGACACCCAGAGCAGGCUGCUCAGGAACAUGUCCACGCAGUUUCUGGAGAUCUCCAGGGAGACUCCACAGCAUCUGGCCAGGCCGUGCCGGAGCUCUAUCACCUGCACAGCACAGAAUUGAUUUCUGAUGGUCACAGCAAAC
rnacentral:lncRNA from 7 species